CCGUAGUUAACGCAUUAAGUGCUCCGCCUGGGGAGUACGUUCGCAAGAAUGAAACUCAAAGGAAUUGACGGGGACCCGCACAAGCAGCGGAGCAUGUGGUUUAAUUCGAAGCAACGCGAAGAACCUUACCAGGACUUGACAUCCUUCUGACAGGACCUUAACCGGUCCCUCCUUCGGGCAGAAGAGACAGGUGGUGCAUGGUUGUCGUCAGCUCGUGUCGUGAGAUGUUGGGUUAAGUCCCGCAACGAGCGCAACCCUUGUCAUUAGUUGCCAUCAUUUAGUUGGGCACUCUAAUGAGACUGCCGGGGAUAACUCGGAGGAAGGUGGGGAUGACGUCAAAUCAUCAUGCCCCUUAUGUCCUGGGCUACACACGUGCUACAAUGGCUGGUACAAAGAGACGCAAGACCGCGAGGUGGAGCAAAUCUUCAAAACCAGUCCCAGUUCGGAUUGUAGGCUGAAACUCGCCUGCAUGAAGUCGGAGUUGCUAGUAAUCGUGAAUCAGAAUGUCACGGUGAAUGCGUUCCCGGGUCUUGUACACACCGCCCGUCACACCAUGGAAGCUGGGGGCGCCCAAAGUUGGUCGAGAAAUAGAUUACCUAAGGCGAAAUCAGUGACUAGGGUGAAGUCGUAACAAGGUAACCGUA
rnacentral:rRNA from 1 species